GGAAGGAUCAUUACCACACCAAAUAAAUUACAUUGUGAAAAUUUUGUUGUCGCGUCUUAGUAUCUUCGGAUACUUUGAUGUAGUAUCUAUCUUUAUAUUUUAUCAAUUUGAAUACUAAAUACUGAAAGUAUAGUGUGUUUAAUUACACAUUAGCUUGUUUAUAUAAUAUAUAACAACUUUCGGCAGUGGAUGUCUAGGCUCGCACAUCGAUGAAGAACGCUGCGAACUGCGAUACGUAAUGCGAAUUGCACAAUUCAGAGAGUCAUCGAAAUUUUGAACGCAUAUUGCACUUUCGGGAUAUUCCUGGAAGUAUGCCUGUAUCAGUGUCUGUAUCCCCUAUAUUUCAAUCUUUAUUGAAUGAAAUGAAUUGUGGAUUUUUACUCUUUUUGAGUAAAAUUCCAUUAAAUGAAGAUUGCGUGUAAUACGAACUCUAUUGCGGUAAUGUCUUUAUUGACUAUUGCAUUGGAUAUUAGUGUUACAAUUUAAACGCAAAGAAAGUGUUACUUGGAAAACGUAACAUCUUCAUUUAUGACCUGAUAUCAAGCAAGAUUACCCGCUGAAUUUAAGCAUAUAACUAAGCGGAGGAAAAGAAACUAACGAGGAUUCCCCUAGUAACGGCGAGUGAAGCGGGAUGAGCUCAAGCUUAAAAUCUUCAUAAUCCCUGAUUAUGACGAAUUGUAGUCUAUUGAAGCUGUUGUCAGUAACGUUUUGUGGGCUAAGUUCCUUGGAAGAGGACAGCAUAGAGGGUGAUACUCCCGUCUUUGCCUGUGAAACGUUUGCAUACGACACGCUUUCUUUGAGUCGAGUUGUUUGGGAAUGCAGCUCAAAGUAGGUGGUAAAUUCCAUCUAAAGCUAAAUAUUGGUGCGAGACCGAUAGCGAACAAGUACCGUGAGGGAAAGAUGAAAAGAACUUUGAAAAGAGAGUUAAAUAGUACCUGAAACUGUUGAAAGGGAAUCGGAUCGUAUCCAGUGUGAUGUUUGUGCAUAUUUCAGUUUUAUGUUGAAAUUUAAUGUGGAACGUUAGUAGUUUAAUCUGCGACGUCUGUAUUGAAUGUAGAUACGAGAUUGCCCUGUGCAUAAACGUAACGUCAAAGUCAGUUUGUAUCUCGUGGGAAAUGGUUUGUGUGGAGGUAUUUCAUUGCUUGCGAUGGAUGUUAUAUCAUGCAAAUUAGUCGUCACGGGUGAGACUGAGGUAAUCACAACCUGCACAAAGGUUAUCUUGCGAUGCUUUAUGAAGUAUUAGAUGGACAGUUUACUGUGCUUUUGAUACUUUGUGAAACGUUGUAGGGUCUCCCUUAGCGGUUCGGGACUUUGACAAAAUGGCGCGAUCCGUCCCGUCUUGAAACACGGACCAAGGAGUCUAACAUGUGUGCAAGUAUUGGGGUGUCAAACCCAAAUGCGUAAUGAAAGUAAAUGCUAUGUAUUUAGCUUAGGUGGGAAUUCUUUGUUUACAGAGAAGGCACCAUCGACCGAUCAUGAACCCAUGUGGUGAAAGAUUUGAGUAUGAGCAUAUAUGUUGGUACCCGAAAGAUGGUGAACUAUGCCUGAAUAGGGUGAAGCCAGGGGAAACUCUGGUGGAAGCUCGAAGCGAUUCUGACGUGCAAAUCGAUCGUCAAAUUUGGGUAUAGGGGCGAAAGACUAAUCGAACCAUCUAGUAGCUGGUUCCCUC
rnacentral:misc_RNA from 1 species